ACUGGCAGGGGGCAGGCAGCGGGCCCCACGAAGGCAGCAGGGUAGGGGGAAGCAAGGGACCCAGUAUUUCUGCUGUUUUCAGAAAUAACUACAGGGGCUCUGGCCUGACAAGUGUAACUCUACUAAUGAAGGCAAAGGACUGAAAUAUUUGAAAAAAGUAGUCCCUAUGAAACCUAGCUUUCAUUUAAUCCUCACAAAAGUGAUCUAAGGGAUUGCUACUAUGCCCUUUUUACAGAUGUUGGAUACAGAGAGGUUGAGCACCCUGUCCACGCUUGCACAGCUGACAUGUGGCAGGGGAGUAUUGGAAACGACCUUUGUGCCGCCUGCGCCACCAGCCAUGGCUCUUAAUUUCCACUUGCAAGAUAUGCCAAUAAUAUGGACACAUUCCUAUUUACAUCUAAGGGAGACUUGAGAAACUCUGCUUCAGUCCUCACAGACAGCCUCUCAUCAUAUCCUUGUGGAGGUUGCUGCCUACUGGGAAGAAUCAGGUUGUCUGAGGUCUACAUGACUCUCCUGAAUUAACAGGAGGCAGGUUGUUACUACAGAUGUGUGUAUGUUUGCAGGUGCCAUUAUUCUAACCCAAAUUCCAUAUCCAAAAUGGUUACUUUAAUCCAGAAGUAAUUUUAUCAGGUAAUAUAGUAACAAGCUUAACAGGCAGGAGCAAAUGAAGGUAGGUACUUAACCCCCGUGGUAAGGAAUAGUGGUUGUAAGUGGGUCAUAGAUCAGACUUUGCUUUUAAUCUUUUUUCUGUUUUAAAAUUCUUCCUCUUCAUAUGUCUGGGAGAAAGAGAAAAAAGGAGAACUGGUUGAUUCUUGCUGUACAGCCUUUAAAAAACAUGGAAGUUGUGAAAGCUAUUGCAUUGUUUUCUAAGGACUCAAGUUACUAGAAAAUUUGAGUAAGUCUGAUUUCUGGAGCACUUAGUGUUUGUUUUCCAUUGAACAGAUGAGAAGCAGAGAGGGUUGAAAGAACUGUGUCAAAUGUCAAAUGAUCCUAUUGUUAGGGUUUUGGGUUGAAAUGGAAGGACUGGAUAUUCAGCAGGCACAUCUCCUGAGCUAGGCACUAGUUCCUUUUUUUUUCCCCUUUGGUUCUGAGGCUUAGAAAAAAAUAAUCUAGAAAAGGAAGAGCCAGACAGGAUGGAUCAUUCAAAUAAAGAAAGACCUCAUCCUACAACUUAAUUUGGUUUCAACAGGACCUCAGUGAAACCACAGAAAACUUACAUACCUGAGAUUUCUCAAGCCUGGGCCUGUUGGUCCCUAAUUCUACGGAACCUGGAGAAAUCCUAAAGUUCUAAUAUUAUUUUGGAUUACUUACUGAAAUUGGAAUUACUGGGUUAAAUGAGAUGAGUUUCCUAAAGCCUUGCCUCACUGUUUUCCAGAAUGGUUAUGCCCAGCUCUAUUCCUGUCCACAGCGUAUGGUUCUCACCUACCACCCUUCCUGUGUGUGCACUGGACUUAGUGACUCUCUUCCAAAGAAUAAAUAAAGGAAAGGGAGAAACAAUAAAUCUAGAGUGGUGAGCCUUGGUAAAUGCUACCCUAACCAAGGAUGAAGGCUAUUGUUCCCUGUGACGUCAGGAGCCUAUAAAGCAAAAAAACAAACAAAAAUUCUCUGAGAAGAGCAUCUUUUGCUUUCAGAAGCAGCGUUUGCAAUGGGCAGUAGCCUCCUCAUCACAUGGUGAUGAUGAUGACAGGAAUUGUUUCUCUCUGAAGACUUACAGGAAGGGAUCCCCUGGGUAAUGGUGGAUGAUUUAGGAAUACCGGAAGGGGAAGAGGGGAGUGGGAGAAAAGAAAUAAAAAGCUGGAUGCAGCAAGCUGCCGCUUUUGGAUCCCAGUAAACCAUUUUAAUAGAAACCGGCAGGAAGCAAUGAAGAGCCCAACUGGAAAAGGCUGAGAAACAAGCCCUAUAUCCUCAGGACAGCAAAAUGUCUCAGACAAUCCGGUGGAAGAGUCAUUACGAAGAAACAGGAUGUGCUGCCCCUUCUGGGUUUUCCUGACGGCCUUCGCUUGGCGGGAGAACGCAGGCUCCACCCAGCUCGCAGUGCUCCAGGAACAUCGCUGGCUGCUUUGGGACUGCAUGUUGACUGGCUCUGAGUCCCUUAUAUCCCUGCCCGCAUCCCCAAGAAUACAUGUGUUCCCCAUUCCUUAAGAGAAUUCCAUCGUCAUCUCCAAGGAAAACGCAGAUGUCCCAGGUGGCCAGACGCAGAGGGGCAAAUGGAGCCGUAUUGUGUUAAUUUGUUAACUGGAAGGUGUACCCUCUUCCCACUGCAGAGCGCGACGCGCGGUACUCCUUGCAGCAGAGCCCUCUGGAAGGGCAGUGCUUGCUGUUGAAAAAUACAUAGUAAUUCUAUUUUGAACAUUCUUUACAAACCCUAAUAAAUGUGCUUUCAAAAUUGUAACUCAGAAGUUAACUGGGAAGGCAAGACACACAUGGAAGGGAAAGGAAUCAAAUGAAGUCCAACUGGUAAAGAAGGAAAGUGAAACCUGGAGCUGCCCCUGCACAGCUGUAUGGGUUGGGUGGUUUCGGGAGAAAUGCUCUUCCUUUCCUGGAGUGUCUGACAGUGUCUCUUAAGCCAACCAAAGUGACGGCAGGACUCCAGGGGCAGCCCCAAAACUACCAUGGCUGGUUGUGCUCUCAGCUUUCCUUCCCUUCUCCCCAACCUGGAAUGAGCUUUUGCUCAUUUUUGGCUCUUCUUUAAAUUUUACCUCCUCUUCAAGGUCAGCUCAAAUUCUACCUCUGCUUUAAGAACCCCCACUCUCAGUGCUUUCUUUCCUUUUUUAAGCUUUUACCCCUAAUG